GGACCUGCAGAUGGAUCAUCGC
rnacentral:rRNA from 1 species